CCUACGGGUGGCAGCAGUAGGGAAUAUUGCUCAAUGGGGGAAACCCUGAAGCAGCAACGCCGCGUGGAGGAUGAAGGUUUUCGGAUUGUAAACUCCUUUUGUUAGAGAAGAUAAUGACGGUAUCUAACGAAUACCCACCGGCUAACUCCGUGCCAGCAGCCGCGGUAAUACGGAGGGUGCAAGCGUUACUCGGAAUCACUGGGCGUAAAGAGCGCGUAGGCGGGAUAGCAAGUCAGAUGUGAAAUCCUAGGGCUUAACCAUAGAACUGCAUUUGAAACUGUUAUUCUAGAGUAUGGGAGAGGUAGGUGGAAUUCUUGGUGUAGGGGUAAAAUCCGUAGAGAUCAAGAGGAAUACUCAUUGCGAAGGCGACCUGCUAGAACAUAACUGACGCUGAUGCGCGAAAGCGUGGGGAGCAAACAGGAUUAGAUACCCCAGUAGUC
rnacentral:rRNA from 1 species